GCAUCUAUAAAAGGGAGCGGGGGAGAGAGGGAGCAGUGUGAGGGAGCACGGGUCUAGGCGGUAGCUGCUUGCGGCAGCCGCGGCGGUAGGCAGAGGUGGUCCUGCUGGCCGUUGGUGGCACGGGCAAGCAGCUCAGGCGCACGAGGAGGUGGUAGGGGAUGCGGCGGACUCUGGUGGGAAACCUCGAGUUGCGGAGACGUUGCCCGAGGAGCAGCAACAGGGCAGGGGCUGGCGGAGGUGCUACUGCGCGCGCUUCUGCGAGGCUGGUGAAGCAGGAGCGGAGGGACCGGGGCUGGAGCUGGUGGUGCUGGUGGCGGCGACGAAGUGGCGCGGUGUCGUGGCGUAGCUGGCAGGGCAGAAGUUGGGGCUCCAGGCCGCGGCAAGCGGCAGCAAAGGCAGCGCGGACGACGAGGAUUGGAGAGCUGCCCGGAGGAACACGGAGGAGCUGGGGCUCUGGCGACGACUACGGCGACACUAGUUGAUACAGCUGCUGCUGGGGAAGAAGAACAGACUCGUUGGUCAACUACGUUGGUCUACCACCUAGGUACCUCGGUCUACGGUGGGGGCGGCUGAUGAUGAUGAUGGGUUUCCCACGGAAGAUGAUGCACCUCGGCCAAGUACCUUGCUGCUGAUCCUCAUCAAUCCUCCAGGGUCCGUCCUCCGGAACGGAGAAGCUAACAACUACAAACACGAUCGGAAGAAUUCCGUAGGAACUAAUUGAAUACAAACAUGAGUCUAUAACAACGAAGGCGACUGAGAACGCAUAGCUCGAACAUAAGCUCGGGAGCUCCGGGAACCGAACAUUAUAUUUCGAACAUAAUAAAAUAAACACAGAUCUCAACACAACACUAUAGAAGGGCACUCAGGGACUAGAACUAGCAUGUGUAAACGCACAUACUAAUCACAUGCUAACUUAGCCCCCGCAGUGUACCCUGAUGUUACGGAUUUACUAACUGAGAUCACCUUCACCCUCUGACAACCCCUAUACUAGUUAGUACUGUACUACUAUAAAGGGAUACAUAAGUACUCAAUAGGUAUAACAGGUAUAACAGGAACUUGUAGUAGUCACUUUACAUAGUUAUUUAUACACUGAACUAACACUC
rnacentral:rRNA from 1 species